GGAGAGGACACAAAAGGGCUACUGUUGGGGAUUGGACCUCCGGGUCAAGCUCCCACCCUCGAAAAUGCUCCCUAACUCUUUUGCAGGGCUCCAACAAGAAGAGGGUAAGCAUACCCGAAGGUGACGAAGGGUCACUCAGAAGCACAAGCUUAAAGACCAAGACCUUCGGUGACCACCUUCGGUAGACGAAGGAAACAAACGGCCGCUCGGAAGUAAAGGGUCUAAGAACAAGACCUUCGGUGACCACCUUCGGGAGACGAAGGUGACAAACGGCUACCCGGAAGCAUAAACUCGAAGAUCAAGACCUUCGGGAAAAGAGACCGCCACCGGG